UUUCCGUAGGUGAACCUGCGGAAGGAUCAUUACAGAGUUCAUGCCCUCACGGGUAGAUCUCCCACCCUUGAAUAUUUAUACCUUAGUUGCUUUGGCAGGCCGUGGAAACACCAUGGGCUCCGGCUUAUGCGUGCCUGCCAGAGGAAACAAACUCUGUUUUUAGUGAUGUCUGAGUACUAUAUAACAGUUAAAACUUUCAACAACGGAUCUCUUGGUUCUG
rnacentral:misc_RNA from 1 species